AGAUGGAAGAAAAAUACAACGCCAGCCUUUUGGCGGCCGGAAUGCAUUGUGAAGCCCAACAGUUAAUUGCUGAGGGAGUCGGUUUAGUGUUGCAAUCGUACAAGUUGGACUCAUACGUUCAACGUCUCGCGGAAUGCCUUUUCCAUUUUCAUGAGAAAGUUGAUGACUUGUUGGCUAUCGAAGAGCAAAUUGAUGUCGAUGUUCGCUCGCUGGAGACUUGCGCUUAUUCUGCCAACACGUUUGCUGACAUCUUGUCCAAGAUCCAGAAGAUGACCUGAGUCUUCGUCAGUAUUCGAAUUUGCAACAAUGGGUCACUAAACUAGACGAAGAAUUAGAAAAGCGUUUGGCUUCCGGUGGUGGAAUUGGUGGAAUUCAGGCCUGGACCCCUGCUCUUGAGGGUCGCAAAGAAGUCGACGUCGACUACACCAUGGACACCGAUGCAGUGGAACUUGGCGGCCAGCCCCAGAUCCGCACAAUUAUUCAUGAAAUUUGCGUUACUAACCAGACGAUGUAUCUGCAUCCGCCACUGCCUGAAGCUCGUACCAAGAUCUAUGAUCUGAUGUUUGAUUGGCAAGCCAUUGUCACGUCUUUGACUCGUAUCCAGAGUACCGGUUAUCAAGUUGCGCUAGAUCGGCCUACUCCACAAACCUAUCGAAAUCUACUCACAAACAUGCCAGAUGGCCCGGAAGUCCUGGCUGCCGCGAGUGCCGCCUGUACUGCCAUUGAGGGAAGAAUGAAGGAGGUGAAAGUCUACGUCGACGACUCUUAAGGAGGAUCAAUCUCUCUGGCUAUGAAAACACCCACAGAUGGCUGCGGAGAGAAAGAACGUGGCGUCGGGACUGAAAUUUUCAGGUCAACAUGUUUACGACCUUCCAAGAUGCUGAGGCUCCUGAACAUCAAUCCCGUGUGCAAAUUUGGAUUCAAGAGUAUGAGAAGAAUCGUCAGGUUUUCGUCUUCAGAACUCCAACUGUGGGUACUUUCUACUUUCUCCACCUUGUUACUAGUGCUUGGAUUGCUGUCUCUUUUGAUCCAGAUUGCCUCGUCUUCAUUGCGCUAUAGGUUCGUGCUUAGUCUCCUCGGCUCUGGUAUCUGGAUCGCCGAGCCACACCGCGGAACAGUCGAGUUCCGGGAGAAGAUUCCGUUGCAGCUCAUGCCCGUAGGCCAGUUAUAACAAGAGCCAAUACGUUUACCACCGGCAGUUCCAUCGGCCGCGGGGAUGCACCUUACAAGUGUUUGCAAUGCUCCUACAACGUCAGCCGGAGGCAUUUGCUGAAUCAAAACCUCAGCGUCCACGGCCUGCCGCCCGUCGGCCUCCUGGACGGUGAUAACUACGCGUCCAAUUCGGAUGCCAUCGGGUCGGAAGCCGAAGCCGAAGCCGAAGCCGAAGCCGCCGAGGCCAUUAAAAUGGCGGACGACGAAGUGAUGGUGGCCGCUGCUGGAGAUCAUUCGCCCACGCCCAUCUCGGCCUGUUCGCUGUUCGCCUUCCUCGGCCGUCGCGGCCGCAUCCAGCAGCAGAAGGCUACACCCACCUGGGCCAGGAUCCCAACACGAUCGCCCGUCUGCCGGACUCUGCCACGGUUUCGCUGCUGGACAUUCCGCUGACGUGGGUGUCGCGGUGGACGAAAUUUUACAAAAUGUUCAAGUGCCGCCACUGCCCGCACGUCAACGUCCGCUAGAGCAACAUCCAGGAGCACGAGAAGAGACACCAGACGAAGCUGGGCAGCGCUGCCGGCGACAACAUGCACGCCUGCUCCAUGUGCAAUUACCGGUGCAACAACGCCGGCGUCUUGUCGGCCCACGUCAAAGUCCACCAGAACGUGCUGGGCAUCAUCCACGCCCUGGCCGAUCCUUCGAGAUCCGACGAGGAGCAGUUGCGCCAAGUGGCCGGAAGAAUCUUGUUCGUCGCUUUCGUCGUCCGGAAGUGCCUCCCCUCAACCGAAAUUGGAUUUGCUGCUGGGUCGGGCCGGCGAAGACGCCAAAGGUGGCGGCGGGAAAAAAGUUGCACUUUUGCGCUCACUGCCCGGCCGGCUUCCUGGUCGAGACGGAGCUCCUGAUUCACACACACACAACGCUUUCACGGAGUCAAACUGGCCUUCCGCUGUGACGUCUGCUCUUACACGGCCCGCCAAGAGAACCACCUGCUGGCCCAUUGGAUGGUCCACAGUCGCGAAUAUCAAGAAAGAACCAAGGUGCUGGUGGAACAUCACGGCGCGUCUGAACAGCAUCCGCAGCCUCGCAUUUUGGCCGUCCAACCCAACAGCAGUGCGGACGAGGAGGAAGGGGCGAUAGAUUUGACCCGCCGGAAGGAAUCGGAGGUGAAACCCAGUCAAACUGCCAUCACUGCCGAAAAGACUUGGGCCAAUUGCCCGCUGUGUCCGGCUCGAUUCGAUCCGGACAGCAAAGCGCUGAAGUACCACAUCUCUCUGCACGGUGGCAACGGCCCGUUCCGCUGCCGCUUCUGCAUCUACGCCGUCAAGGCCCAGGACAAUUUGAC
rnacentral:lncRNA from 1 species